CCCCUCUAAGGGUCGCACCUGGAGAGUUUCCGGGACUCUACCAGUCUCGGUUACGGGAGGGAGAGUCAACCUGAGGCCUACCCACUCCAUUCCUAGCUUGCUCAGUGGCUAGCGAGGGGAAGGCCAUCGGCUACAAGU
rfam:Ornithorhynchus anatinus chromosome X5, whole genome shotgun sequence.